rnacentral:lncRNA from 1 species
CUGGCUCAUACCCCGUCUGGUGGCACAGAUGGAUGACAUCCCCCAACUCCCCUCCUGAAAACCACCCUGGACACAGGGAAUGAUGGAUGAAGGUGGGCAGAGGUCCCUGCUGGGUGCUUCCUGGAGCAGCAGGGGUGAGGGUGGGGGUAGAGGAGCCCGGGAGCAACACCCAAGGGCAGAAGCAGGUGGACGUGCCUGCCAGACUCUGGAUGGGGUGACCAGGUGGAGGGUGGUGCCAUAAAUAUGUGGAGAGACAGGAGAACCUUCCCCCAGGGCUGCCUGAGCCCCAGGAGCCCCUCCCCUCUGCAGGAUGCACUCACCGUGGCCACAGAUGUCCCCAAGGUCCAAGGGGAGAAGAAAGAGUCUGAAGGCUGGGGCCUGGGGGGAGCCCUGCGAGCCAGGCGCGGGGACCCUCCAGGGACAGAGGAAGGAGGUGAGCUCUGGGGCUGGGGGAGGGGCCUACACACCAUACACAGUCAGGUGGAAAUCCCGGUCAUACAUUAUUCCUCUGGUGUAGGAGCCCUGAGCCCGGUACAGCCCAGUGUCCUCCAGGGUCAGGUUGUUCAUCCUCAGGGUCGUCAUGUUGAGCACAUGGACCCUCUUCUGGAACUUGUCCUGGAAGUUGACCCAUUCUGGAGUGCGUGCCCCAGCGGAGACCCGCAGCACGGCUGUAUACUUUGCCCCGGAGAACAUCCCCCAGGUCAUCUUCUCCAGCUUGACUCCUGCAGGCAAGUCUGGGUUUCUGAGCACUUGAAACAACACAGAAGCUCCUUGCAUCCGCUUCAGAGAAACAGGGUUUCCCGAAUCCUCAACUCCAGAACCAUGGGCUGCAGAACCCUGGGUGCCAGUGCUGCAGACGCCUAGGGCAGAGGGCACAGGAAAUGAGGGUGGUUUUCCAGGAGGAAUGAAGGAGAAAAGCCCAGAAAUCUUGCCAUGAAAUCCCUCCCGUGUGCUCCAUGACUCCUGGAAGGCAGGAGAGUGCAUGAGUGUGAAGCGAUGCUAGAGUCACUGCUGUCCCAGGGCAGCGUCCCCUUGACCAGGUCAUGUGACCUCGCUCACCUGCAGGGUCCUGACCCCCAACAGGGAGAGGAUGAAGUGCAGGGGACUCGGACCAACAGCUCUGGCACAUUUACCAUCCAUACCGAGACCAUUUCUGCAGAAAGGAGCUGCUCACCUGUUGGACAUCCCUUCCUGGCCUUUACCCAGUCCCUAUGGAUUCUCUCCAGACCUGGGGACCCCACAUGGGGCCCAGCACCCCUUACUCACCUGCCCACCGGUCCCCAGGACAGGUAUCCACGCUGUCCCUGCCUCUGGCCAGCCAGGACACUGACACCUGAUUCCUCCUCAGCCUCAAGGGCUCCUCGUCUGUCCCCUCCUACACACUCACUCCCCUCUGACACCCCGUGCAGGAGGAGGUCUAGGCCUGACAUGCUGUCCUGAAAGCAUCUGCCCUGGAUACAAUUCUCUGAAUCUU